rnacentral:rRNA from 1 species
UACGAAGGGUGCAAGCGUUAAUCGGAAUAACUGGGCGUAAAGCGCGCGUAGGUGGUUUGUCAAGUUGGAUGUGAAAUCCCCGGGCUCAACCUGGGAACUGCAUCCAAAACUGACUGACUAGAGUACGGUAGAGGUUAGUGGAAUUUCCUGUGUAGCGGUGAAAUGCGUAGAUAUAGGAAGGAACACCAGUGGCGAAGGCGACUAACUGGACUGAUACUGACACUGAGGUGCGAAAGCGUGGGGAGCAAACAGG